rnacentral:lncRNA from 1 species
CUCAAAGCUCUCCUAAGACUGCUGGUCUUCAAAUACUUGAUCUUGAGCACCAACGUACGGCUCACCGUCUAAUCCCAAUCAUCAAUCAACAACACGCAAUCCAAUGUAGACAAUCAUACACGAAGCAAACAAGAUACAAUUAGAACAAUACACCAAACAGUGGUAAAACAAAUAUAAAAGUUUAUCAAAAUAUCCUACGCAGCGCUAUGAUCACAUAAACGUAAAGUUUACGAAAAUCGGAAUUAAAACGUGAAAGAUAUGAAUUUUCUAAGAUUUCCUAUAGAGAAGUAAUUAAUUAAAUGCUACUGCAGAAUUAAAAAGUUUUAAAACAGUAAACUAAUAUUUCUAACAUGUAGAGCAUAUAAUUACGAACCUAACGUAAUUUGAAUGGACAAAAACGGAUUUAAAACGAAGAAAAUAUGGCGUAAACAAACUAGUAUAUUUUCUUUGUAUUACUAGAUUUAUUUUCCUAAAGGAAAACGGCAAUAAUGCUGGGUUGACGUCAUGGUGAUGUCAUCGUGAUCUCAUCAUGCUAAUUAGCCGAAGAUACUGCAAGACUUAUCAAUUGCGGUAGAUGAUGAGGGUCGAGAGUGCCUGCUGCAGCCCACACAGCAAGAGCAGAAAGGCGGACUCCCCUAGCUCUUAUUAGGAUCAAAACAGAAACAAUGGAGAACUCACCACAAGUGAUUUCGUGAUGAAACAAGGCGAGGAUGUCGGGUGGCUCGGAGAGGCAGGGACGGGUUCCUCAGAACGAAGCUUAGCGUCCUGCUUGGUUCAUCGGAGAAGCGGCUCCGAAGGACCAUCUCGGCUCCUCGACGGGAUACUCGGCAGUGACUCAGAGACGAUGAGGAAGCCACGAACGGCGGUCACCACGGCGGCGAGCCGAGCUAGGGCUUUGGAACGGCGCUGCAAGGUCGAGAAGAGUCGGUGGCUUGCCUAGGGUUAUAAUAGACGAUGCGCACACAUGGCUUGGGUUUUACGCAAUAUCCUGUAUGAUUUGGAAUUUGCAUCGACUUCCGUCGGCUUGCAGUCUGAGCAGAGCACGGCAGGAGAUAGAGGAAGGUGGCUGACAUGUGGAGUCCAGCGGCAGUGACUCAUGGAGCAGGGCCCAAGAGUCAGCAAGACAAAGAGAGAGGCGUGAACCUUCCACAGGUCCGCUUGGCCUGGUUCCCACGAAGGAGGUUUCUUCUUUUCUUUUUAUUUUUUCCUUUUCUAUUUUAUUUUCUAAAGCUUUCUUUUGAAGAGGAUUUUGAAUGCAAUUAAAUUCUAGCCAAAGCAAAAUAGCACGAAAUAAAAUAUGCUUCAGCAUUAAUGCACGAUCAAGUUUACUAAACUUAUGAUGAAUUUUAAUUCCAACAAAAAUUUAUUUAUUUACUAUAUUUAAAUGCUCACAAAAAUACAUAAUUAAAUCCAAUUAAAUCCUAUUAAUUACAAAUCAAAUUUUGGGUGUUACAUCCUAGGCACAUGUGUUUAAAAUCCAAGACGAGUUCUGGUCAAACAUGGUCAAAUGACAAACUAAAUUACAUAAAAUAAAAAACAUUUGAAUACCAAGUUGUUCGAUUUGAUCAAGACCCAAACUUUUUAUAUAGACCAUUUUUCCAUUUGAGGAAGUUUAAGUAAACAAUACUCACUAAAUCUUUAAUCUCACAUAAACUAUACGAAAUGAUAUGUGAGAAUUGUGGAUUUUCAACUACACCUUCCAAACACUUUGUC